UACGAAGGGGGCUAGCGUUGCUCGGAAUCACUGGGCGUAAAGCGCACGUAGGCGGAUCGCUAAGUCAGGGGUGAAAGCCUGGAGCUCAACUCCAGAACUGCCUUUGAUACUGGCAAUCUCGAGUCCGGGAGAGGUGAGUGGAACUGCGAGUGUAGAGGUGAAAUUCGUAGAUAUUCGCAAGAACCCCAGUGGCGAAGGCGGCUCACUGGCCCGGUACUGACGCUGAGGUGCGAAAGCGUGGGGAGCAAACAGG
rnacentral:rRNA from 1 species